UGCUUAACACAUGCAAGUCGAACGAGAACGGAUUAAAGCUUGCUUUAAUUGUCAGCUAAGUGGCGCACGGGUGAGUAAUAUAUAGUUAACCUGCCUCAAAGAAGGGAAUAAUUGUUGGAAACGACUUGUAACGCCCUAUAUGCCUUUAAGUCAUAAGACUGCAAGGGAAACAUUUAUGGCUUUGAGAUGGGACUGUACGGUAUCAGUUAGUUGGUGGGGUAAUGGCUUACCAAGACAAUGACGCCUAACUGGUUUGAGAGGAUGAUCAGUCACACUGGAACUGAGACACGGUCCAGACUCCUACGGGAGGCAGCAGUGGGGAAUAUUGCACAAUGGGGGAAACCCUGAUGCAGCAACGCCGCGUGGAGGAUGACACA
rnacentral:rRNA from 1 species